rnacentral:rRNA from 1 species
GGGGAAGUAUUGCGUCAUGGGCAGGAAGACUCGACGCAGCGACGCCGCGUGUGGGAUGACGGCCUUCGGGUUGUAAACCACUGUCGGGAGGGACGAAUGCGCCGCAAGGCGAGUGACGGUACCUCCAAAGGAAGCACCGGCUAACUCCGUGCCAGCAGCCGCGGUAAUACGGAGGGUGCGAGCGUUGUCCGGAAUCACUGGGCGUAAAGGGCGCGUAGGCGGCCUGGUAAGUAGGGGUGGAAUCAUGCGCUUGACCGCAUAC